GACAGAGGAUGCAAGCGUUAUCCGGAAUGAUUGGGCGUAAAGCGUCUGUAGGUGGCUUUUCAAGUCCGCCGUCAAAUCCCAGGGCUCAACCCUGGACAGGCGGUGGAAACUACCAAGCUGGAGUACGGUAGGGGCAGAGGGAAUUUCCGGUGGAGCGGUGAAAUGCGCAGAUAUCAGGAGGAACACCAAUGGCGAAGGCAGCACUCUGGGACGUGACUGACGCUGAGACGCGAAAGCGUGGGGAGCAAACAGG
rnacentral:rRNA from 1 species